UCCCCUGUAGCUCAAUGGUAGAGCAGGAUCCUGUUAAGAUCAAGGUUAGAGGUUCGAGUCCUCUCGGGGGAG
rnacentral:tRNA from 1 species